rnacentral:rRNA from 1 species
GAUUCUGGCUCAGGAUGAACGCUAGCGACAGGCUUAACACAUGCAAGUCGAGGGGCAGCAUAGAAGUAGCAAUACUUGGUGGCGACCGGCGCACGGGUGAGUAACGCGUAUGCAACCUACCUAUCAGAGGGGAAUAACCCGGCGAAAGUCGGACUAAUACCGCAUAAAACAGGGGCACCGCAUGGUGAUAUUUGUUAAAGAAAUUCGCUGAUAGAUGGGCAUGCGUUCCAUUAGGUAGUUGGUGAGGUAACGGCUCACCAAGCCGACGAUGGAUAGGGGAACUGAGAGGUUGGUCCCCCACACUGGUACUGAGACACGGACCAGACUCCUACGGGAGGCAGCAGUGAGGAAUAUUGGUCAAUGGGCGGGAGCCUGAACCAGCCAAGUCGCGUGAAGGAAAGAAGGAUCUAUGGUUCGUAAACUUCUUUUGCAGGGGAAUAAAGUGCAGGACGUGUCCUGUUUUGUAUGUACCCUGAGAAUAAGGAUCGGCUAACUCCGUGCCAGCAGCAGC